AACGAACGCUGGCGGCAUGCCUAACACAUGCAAGUCGAACGAGACCUUCGGGUCUAGUGGCGCACGGGUGCGUAACGCGUGGGAACCUGCCCUUAGGUUCGGAAUAACUCCCCGAAAGGGGUGCUAAUACCGGAUAAUGUCUUCGGACCAAAGAUUUAUCGCCUUUGGAUGGGCCCGCGUUGGAUUAGCUAGUUGGUAGGGUAAAAGCCUACCAAGGCGACGAUCCAUAGCUGGUCUGAGAGGAUGAUCAGCCACACUGGGACUGAGACACGGCCCAGACUCCUACGGGAGGCAGCAGUGGGGAAUAUUGGACGAGGGGCGAAAGCCUGAUCAAGCAAUGCCGCGUGAGUGAUGAAGGCCUUAGGGUUGUAAAGCUCUUUUACCCGGGAUGAUAAUGACAGUACCGGGAGAAUAAGCUCCGGCUAACUCCGUG
rnacentral:rRNA from 1 species